rnacentral:lncRNA from 1 species
UGUACUUUGUUUCCCAGGCGUGGCGCGUACCCCCAACUAAUGUCACAAAGGUGUGCUGUUGAACAAAAGAAGGAAGCAGAUGAGAAGCUAUGGAAGGCUCUAGAGCAUUUGGGAGGGAGAGGCAGCAGGCCAUUGGAAUUUAAUUCAUCUACUGGGUUCUCCUUGCCAAGGAAUUUCUGGGAAUUUUUCAGUCAUGCUCACAUGUUGUACCACUCUCUCCUGGACGUCACUUGUCACCUCUACCAGUCCUCCUUUCUCCAGAUGGUUUCUUCAUAACCACCAGAAACCCAGAAGAUUCAGAAAGACUCCUUGCUGCUGAUGAGGCAGAGUCCAGAAUGCACAGCAGUUUCUGGAACAUAGCAGAAGCACAAUAAAUGCUUAUCAAGAGGACUGAUGCUCCAUUUGGCCUGCUCAAGUUAGAGCCAGCUCCUCUAUGCUCUGUCUUUGUCAACAGACUUUCCCAGCCAUUGAGGCAAACCAGCGCAGACUGAUGGAUUUCACCCAAAGUUAUUAAUUCGUUAACAAUUGGCUGUAAAAGUAUGUGUAUGGAAACAAAUGGGGAAACUAAAAACCAGAUUUGCAGUUGCAGUGUAAAAAUAUAAUUGCCAUGCGUUAGCAAAAAGAAAGGCCCCUCACAGAUUGCAAAUGUUAUUUUAAUACAUAAGGAAAUUGUACUGGAUUUAAUGAAUUUCUUUUGACCAUCAGCAAAAUGGCAUUUCAGAUUUCAAGCACAAAACUUUUUUGUUGUUGUUAUUGCUGCUUUUUAAAAAAUUUAAUCAUUUGGAAAAAAUGGACUUCUGAUGAAUUGAUCAGAGAUUUGUGCCACAAGGUAUGUGACCUUGGGUAAUUCACUUAACUCUCUGAGUCUUGAUUUCUUCAUUGGCAAAAUGGGUGUAAAAAUCUGUAUUUGUCAGAUGAUUGGAUGAGAUUAUGCAUACAAAAUACCUAACAGAGUACCCG